rnacentral:misc_RNA from 1 species
CUAGAACGGCUUGAUUUUGAAGAGUUGCAAUGGACUAUGAGCUUUCCGAUAGUAGUGGUACUGAUGAUGACCUCCCACCAUCACAUCGAAAUAGAUUCCAAAGUCGGGUACGACCUGCUGGGAAUGGAAGAUCUACGGCAGUUGGUUCUGCUUCAUUAGCUAGGGUUCACAGUGAUAUGGAAACUCAAAUACACAACAUUGAGCAGGAAGCAUACACUUCAGUCCUACGGGCAUUUAAAGCACAAUCUGAUGCCAUUACUUGGGAAAAGGAGAGUUUAAUUACAGAACUCAGGAAAGAGU